rnacentral:rRNA from 1 species
ACGUAGUUUGAUCAUGGCUCAGAUUGAACGCUGGCGGCAUGCCUUACACAUGCAAGUCGAACGGCAGCGGACCUUCGGGUGCCGGCGAGUGGCGAACGGGUGAGUAAUAUAUCGGAACGUGCCCAGUCGUGGGGGAUAACGUAGCGAAAGCUACGCUAAUACCGCAUACGAUCUACGGAUGAAAGCGGGGGACUCGCAAGAGCCUCGCGCGAUUGGAGCGGCCGAUGGCAGAUUAGGUAGUUGGUGGGGUAAAGGCUCACCAAGCCUGCGAUCUGUAGCUGGUCUGAGAGGACGACCAGCCACACUGGAACCGAGACACGGCCCAGACUCCUACGGGAGGCAGCAGUGGGGAAUAUUGGACAAUGGGCGAAAGCCUGAUCCAGCAAUGCCGCGUGAGUGAUGAAGGCCUUAGGGUUGUAAAGCUCUUUUACCAGGGAUGAUAAUGACAGUACCUGGAGAAUAAGCUCCGGCUAACUCCGUG